CCUACGGGAGGCAGCAGUGGGGAAUCUUCCGCAAUGGGCGAAAGCCUGACGGAGCAACGCCGCGUGAUCGAAUGAAGGCCUUCGGGUUGUAAAGAUCUGUUGACAGGGACGAAUAAGCAAUGCGAAUGGCUUUGUGUAUGAAGGUACCUGUUUAGAAUGCUCCGGCUAACUACGUGCCAGCAGCCGCGGAAAUACGUAGGGAGCAUGCGUUGUCCGUAAUUACUGGGGGUAAAGGGCGCGUAGGUGGGCGAUUAAGUCAGGUGUGAAAGCUCCGGGCUCAACCUGGAGACUGUAAUUGAAACUGGGUGUCUUGAGUGCAGGUGAGGAAGGUGGAAUUCGUGGUGUAGCGGUGAAAUGCGUGGAUAUUACGAAGAACACCGGUGGCGAAGGCGACUUACUGAACUGUAACUGACGCUGAGGCGCGAAAGCGUGGGUAGCGAACGGGAUUAGAUACCCUUGUAGUC
rnacentral:rRNA from 1 species